rnacentral:rRNA from 1 species
GAUGAACGCUGGCGGCGUGCUUAACACAUGCAAGUCGAACGGUGAAAGCGGAGCUUGCUCUGCUGGAUCAGUGGCGAACGGGUGAGUAACACGUGAGCAAUCUGCCCCUGACUCUGGGAUAAGCGCUGGAAACGGCGUCUAAUACCGGAUACGAGCUGCGAAGGCGUCUUCAGCAGCUGGAAAGAACUUCGGUCAGGGAUGAGCUCGCGGCCUAUCAGCUAGUUGGUGAGGUAACGGCUCACCAAGGCGUCGACGGGUAGCCGGCCGGAGAGGGUGACCGGCCACACUGGGACUGAGACACGGCCCAGACUCCUACGGGAGGCAGCAGUGGGGAAUAUUGCACAAUGGGCGAAAGCCUGAUGCAGCAACGCCGCGUGAGGGACGACGGCCUUCGGGUUGUAAACCUCUUUUAGCAGGGAAGAAGCGAAAGUGACGGUACCUGCAGAAAAAGCGCCGGCUAACUACGUGCCAGCAGCCGCGGUAA